rnacentral:rRNA from 1 species
UUGCAUGGCUGUCGUCAGCUCGUGUCGUGAGAUGUUCGGUUAAGUCCGCUAACGAGCGCAACCCGCGUUGUGUGUUACAAGUGUCACACAAUACCGCCGGUAUUAAGUCGAGGAAGGUGCGGAUGACGUCAAGUCAGCAUGACCUUUAUAUCCAGGGCUACACACACGCUACAAUGGUCAGCACAAUAGGUUGCCAAGUCGUUGAGACGGAGCCAAUCCUCCAAAGCUGGCCUCAGUUCAGAUUGUAGGCUGCAACCCGCCUGCAUGAAGUUGGAGUUGCUAGUAACCGCAGGUCAGCUAUACUCGCGGUCGAAUACGUUCCCGGGCCUU